ACGGGGCCCGCACAAGCGGAGGAGCAUGUGGUUUAAUUCGAUGAUACGCGAGGAACCUUACCUGGGCUCGAACGUAAGAUGACUGUAGGUGAAAGCUUACAUCUCUUCGGAGCAUUUUACGAGGUGCUGCAUGGUUGUCGUCAGCUCGUGCCGUGAGGUGUCGGGUUAAGUCCCAUAACGAGCGCAACCCUACCUUUAGUUGCCAUCAGGUAAUGCUGGGGACUCUAAAGGAACUGCCUACGCAAGUAGUGAGGAAGGCGGGGAUGACGUCAAAUCAGCACGGCCCUUACGUCCAGGGCUACACACGUGCUACAAUGGCCGAUACAGAGGGCAGCCACCUGGUGACAGGAUGCAAAUCUCCAAAGUCGGUCUCAGUUCGGAUCGGAGUCUGCAACCCGACUCCGUGAAGUUGGAUUCGCUAGUAAUCGCGCAUCAGCCAUGGCGCGGUGAAUACGUUCCCGGGCCUU
rnacentral:rRNA from 1 species